GCCGGGUGUGGUGGCGCACGCCUUUAAUCCCAGCACUCAGGAGGCAGAGGCAGGCGGAUUUCUGAGUUCGAGGCCAGCCUGGUCUACAGAGUGAGUUCCAGGACAGCCAGGGCUACACAGAGAAACCCUGUCUCGGAAAAACCAAAAAAUAAAAAAAAGAAGAAAAAAAAAAGCCCCCCCCCCCCAAAAAAAAAAACAGGAUUUCUCUGUGUAGCCCUGGCUGUCCUGGAACUCACUCUGUAGACCAGGCUGGCCUUGAACUCAGAAAUCCGCCUGCCUCCU
rnacentral:SRP_RNA from 1 species